AUUAUCGGUUGACUCUGGGUCCAGUCUGGUUCUGGUCUCUGUUUAGACCCAAACUAACAUCCAGCUGAGACAAACACAAACGUUCCUGCUGUGAUCUCACCUUAACUUCCGGCCCGCGAAAAACUGACCAAUGGCGAGAUGUCUUUUCCAACAGUGUUAAUGAUUUUUGGUUGAAGCGGCUUUGAAGGACACAAGAUGGAGUUAACCCUCAGUACCGCGGAAGAGGACGAGAGCAGGGCUUCCUGUUGUUCACUGUCGGCAGUUUAAGAGUCACGUGGCAGCGGCCGUGAGAUGAAGGC